rnacentral:rRNA from 1 species
UACGUAGGGUGCGAGCGUUAAUCGGAAUUACUGGGCGUAAAGCGUGCGCAGGCGGUUUUGUAAGCCAGAUGUGAAAUCCCCGGGCUCAACCUCGGAACUGCCUUCGAUACUGUCAGUCUUGAGGUCGGGAGAGGUGGAGUGGAACUCCGAGUGUAGAGGUGAAUCGUAGAAUUAUUCGGAAGAACACCAGUGGCGAAGGCGCUCAC